AGAGUUUGAUCCUGGCUCAGGACGAACGCUGGCGGCGCGCCUAACACAUGCAAGUCGAACGAGCGAGAGAGAGCUUGCUUUCUCGAGCGAGUGGCGAACGGGUGAGUAACGCGUGAGGAACCUGCCUCAAAGAGGGGGACAACAGUUGGAAACGACUGCUAAUACCGCAUAAGCCCACGACCCGGCAUCGGGUAGAGGGAAAAGGAGCAAUCCGCUUUGAGAUGGCCUCGCGUCCGAUUAGCUAGUUGGUGAGGUAAUGGCCCACCAAGGCGACGAUCGGUAGCCGGACUGAGAGGUUGAACGGCCACAUUGGGACUGAGACACGGCCCAGACUCCUACGGGAGGCAGCAGUGGGGAAUAUUGCACAAUGGGGGAAACCCUGAUGCAGCGACGCCGCGUGGAGGAAGAAGGUCUUCGGAUUGUAAACUCCUGUUGUUGAGGAAGAUAAUGACGGUACUCAACAAGGAAGUGACGGCUAACUACGUGCCAGCAGCCGCGGUAAAACGUAGGUCACAAGCGUUGUCCGGAAUUACUGGGUGUAAAGGGAGCGCAGGCGGGAAGACAAGUUGGAAGUGAAAUCCAUGGGCUCAACCCAUGAACUGCUUUCAAAACUGUUUUUCUUGAGUAGUGCAGAGGUAGGCGGAAUUCCCGGUGUAGCGGUGGAAUGCGUAGAUAUCGGGAGGAACACCAGUGGCGAAGGCGGCCUACUGGGCACCAACUGACGCUGAGGCUCGAAAGUGUGGGUAGCAAACAGGAUUAGAUACCCUGGUAGUCCACACUGUAAACGAUGAUUACUAGGUGUUGGAGGAUUGACCCCUUCAGUGCCGCAGUUAACACAAUAAGUAAUCCACCUGGGGAGUACGACCGCAAGGUUGAAACUCAAAGGAAUUGACGGGGGCCCGCACAAGCAGUGGAGUAUGUGGUUUAAUUCGACGCAACGCGAAGAACCUUACCAAGUCUUGACAUCCUGCGACGCACAUAGAAAUAUGUGUUUCCUUCGGGACGCAGAGACAGGUGGUGCAUGGUUGUCGUCAGCUCGUGUCGUGAGAUGUUGGGUUAAGUCCCGCAACGAGCGCAACCC
rnacentral:rRNA from 1 species